GCCGGGCUUUAUGACAGGGACCCGCGCCACGACCCCCAUGCCGGCCUGCUUUCGGAAGUACAGGCCGGAGACCCGGAACUGCUACGGAUGGCUGGUGGUGCCGGGACAAUGCUGGGGAGCGGAGGCAUGAUCACCAAGGUGCGGGCGGCCAGCCGUGCCGCCCAGUCGGGCGCCGCCACCCUUAUCGCCCCGGGCAGCGCCGACAACAUCCUGUUACGCAUCUGGUCCGGGGAAGAGGUGGGGACGUAUUUUCGUCCGGGCGUUGCCAAACUGGCCGCGCGCAAGCGCUGGCUGGCAGGGCAGUUGCGCCCGUCCGGGACACUCCAUCUGGACGCGGGCGCCGUGCGGGUACUCCGGGAAAAGGGCAGCAGUCUGCUUCCGGUCGGUAUUACUGCCAGCGAGGGCGAUUUCCAACGCGGCGACCUGGUGCGCUGUGUGGACCCGGAAGGUCAUGAGGUCGCGCGUGGCCUGGUGAACUUCGCGCAGCAUGAAGUCCUGCUGCGGCUAGGUAAGGGCAGCAAGGCACUCUGCGCAUUGUUCGGCGAUGUGGACGAGUUCGAGAUCAUCCACCGUGACAACCUGGUGCUCAGCAGCGACCACGGCUAAUCCGUGCUGGCUCCGGGUGCAUCGUCGUCCCUUAGUGAACAAAUCCCCACGUCCUGCAUGCCAAGACAGGUGCCAUAGAGAUAGAGGCUGUGGUCGCUGAUAAAGAAGCCCCGGUUCGCAGCGAGUUCCCGCUGCCGGGCCUCCAGCAUCUCAUCGAAAAACUCCAGUACCUUACCACAGGCAGUACACACCAUAUGAUCGUGGUGGCCGGUUUCAUUGAGCUCAAAGACCGCCUUAUCGCCCUCAAAGUGGUGCCUUCGCACCAAUCCGGCCAUUUCAAACUGCGUAAGCACUCGAUAGACUGUCGCCAGGCCCACUUCUUCACCGGUCUCCAGCAACAGCCGGUAGAUUUCCUCGGCAGUAAGAUGCCGUGCGUCGCUGUCCUCAAAAAUGCGAAGUAUCUUCAGCCGCGGCAGGGUCGCCUUGAGGCCGGCGCGCUUCAAUUCAUCGCUGUUCAUUCGUUCGUCGAUCAUUCGCUCGUAGCAAUGGCCAU
rnacentral:antisense_RNA from 1 species